UCGAUAUAACCUCUGUUCCCUUCCCCUCUCCUCCUCCACCCCGCGCUCUUUUCCCCAAAACCAACCACCGCCCCCGCCACCUCGCCGGAAAACAACAAAUCCGCCGUCGCCCGCUGCCACCGCACCACCUCGCGGGAACCCUACCUGAAGCAGAAUCCGGCCAGCAUAUCGGCCUUUCUGCACUCCCAGUCCCUCCCCGCCACGCCCAAGCAUCCCCCGAGGAACCCGCGCUCGUCUUCUUGGUCGGUGGCUCGGUGGUAAUGGCCAAAAAGAAGAAGGCGGCCCGGAACCGGGGCAGGAAUGGUGCGGGAAUGGAGUCGGAGGCGGAGGGUUCAGCUGGGCGCGCCCCCCACUUCCACGGACACGGCGCCCCCUUUGACGUCCGCCGCGGCCAAGAAAACGGAGCCCACCCUGGGGGCGCCCGCGCCGGCCAAGAAGCUAUCCCGCCCCAUGGCACAGCACAGAAGAUUGUUGAGCCCCUACGCCGUGCAGCGGCUUUCCUGGGGAGGAAUGGCAGCGCCGGCGACGAUACGUCGGACGCCUCCAGCAGCGCCGGCAACGGCGGCGUGGAGGCUCUGGUGGGCGAGCGCUCGCGGGAUCAGGUUGACAAGGAUGAGGAUCCUUACCAGAAUGAGAGGAGGUAUUAAGAGUUUUGUGAAGCUAGAAUGAAGCUUCCACUCGGAUAUGAAUUGUGCACUGUAUGUUUUUUUGAAGAGCCCUGGAGACAUGGAAAUGCAGUAGUACGUUUCGAGAAUAUGCUCUAUCAUUUCAAUUGCCACAACACUCCAGGUGUCAAAUGUGGUGAAGAAUUAUGUACAGUUAGGUUCCGCAGCUGUGAACAUCAGCAGUUAUACAGAUCCUAUUGCACAAGUAUUUGGGAGACCAAGCCAGAGUUGUGGUAUGAGAGGUUUUGUCGAGGUAGGGUGUAAUAAAAAUCUGUUGGGAAGAUUUGCAGCAGCUAAAGGUGUCUGCAAGUAUGACCUGAGAUUGAAGAACCACAUGGUGUGCUAAUAAAAGCUACUAAGAGAUGAACUAUUGUAUGCUUUUGUUGGAUGGUGGGUUGACAUGUCGUGUGAGAGUGAUGUCAAACGACCAGCUGUGAGCCUAGUGCGAUCAUGUUGUUGAGAAAAUGGUUUUCUUGGAUGAUGUUCUGCAGCUACUGUGGAAGUUAUCUUUACUUUGAUCGAUCGAAAUGUGUUUGCUGGAAUGUUAUUCACAUGGGAGGAGAUGGUAACAAGCGUCAGUUUGAUCAUGGUGACAUUCACUUAUUGGUUAUGAGUUUUACAUGUGUAUCACAUGGUCACAGUUUACCGUAGGUUUGACUGUUUCUAGGAGAGUUGUUGAGGAUGGGUAUUUCUGUUUAAGGUCAGCUUGGGGUGAAACCUGCAGGACGUGGUAAGAAGUGCCAGGGAAGUAUUCUGUGUUUUCUUUACUGAUCAUCCAUUCAUCCUGAUGCCGUCCUGUGGACAUGUGGUAGCAUGUGAUUCUGUUCAAAAUCCCAGGAGGUGUCUUCUCCUCAGUUUCAUUUGGAAUAAUCAGAAGAUCACAUGGUUUUUUUUUUCCGGUGUCUGCUGGCUUGAUAUGUGGAAAGCCAUCCAGUCUUAGUGAAUUGUUCGAGCGCUGGGUGAAUGGUUUCAGCAACGUAACUCAAAAACCAGUAUUGGCUGGGAUUUCAGUGGUUUGUAGGGGCUGUGGAAUUGGGACACAAGAAAUGUCUUACUGUCAGCAUAUUUUAUACCUAAUUAUCCUAACACUGUCGUUCACUGUGUUUUCAGAUCGAUUCAUGCUUUGCAGGAGGAGCAAAUCAAUGAGAAGCCGCUGCUGAGAAUUUGGUGUGUGUGUGUGUGUGUUGGAUGGCAUCGACAGAUGCUUUCAAAAGAUGGGCUCGGUGGCGAUGAGGAAACUUUGAGUUGGAUGAUAGAAUUUUCAUACGUGCUCCACUUGUUUUCCUCCCCGUGUUCUUGUCGCAAUUUCAAUGAAUAUUACACCCUUCGAUCCAAAAUAAGUGUCGCAGUUUCAAACUAAGGUUAGUUGAACCUUAGUUUGAAACUACGACACUUAUUACGGAUCGGAGGGAGUACUAUUUUAUCAAUGUUUCGCAUCUAACCUGAACUUGGUUUAGCUUCUGUAGGCUUGUCUGUCUGAUGCCUUCAUGUCGCUGUGAACUGAAGCUUGUUCCUUAUACGAGAAGAAGCAAUAAAAUAUGCCGGCAGACAUUUGGAUUUCCUCCACAGAUUUCAGAAUAGUAAUGGACCAUAAGUAGUCGUGUUCCCUACCGUCAGUAGACUGCUGAAGGAGCAAUGGUUAGCCUUGCAAGGGCGAUUCUGAGUUGCUUCCUCAAAAGACCGCUACUAGGAAGAAGAUAAACCCAAGGAAGAAACAGACACGAAGAUAGCUCAUAUUCUGCCAAAUAGGAGCGAUAUGUCUCAAGAUGAAACUAGUAGAUAUGUUGAAACAAUAUACUCCCUCUGUCCCAUAAUAUAAGAGCGUUUUUGAUACUAAUACGCUCUUAUAUUAUGGGAUGGAGGGAGUACAAUAAAAGAACUUCCGAAAGAAGAGAAAACUGCUCUAUGUAUUUUAAGUAUCUUCUCUAGUGCCGCUUCUUGGUUGGUUCAUGUCUGAACUUUCCAUCGACAGAGGUUUUUGUUUAUUACACAAUCAAAAUUGAGAUUUGAUAUGCUUCUUCCAUCAACAAAGGUCCUGUG